CGAUGGCUCUGGUGGCUCUGGCCUCUGAGGUCUGAGCUUGAUGAUAAUCAUUCAUCAAUAACGGCAUAAGCCAAGAAAUUCGAGAGAGUGGGGCAAUUUGGUUGGAUUUAGACGAUGAUGAACUAAAACUGAAAUGGUCUUAGAAUGAAGAAGAUAAGGAUGAUGACGAUUAUGAGCAGCAUAGAGCGAAGAAUGGCAGCGGCGUGGCACAAGAAGUACGUGAUAAGAAGAGCUAUAAGCACCCAAAUUCUAAUGUCUCCUCAAUCUCUCGUUUCUCUUGACCUACCUGAGAUUUGGACUGCAGCCGCAGAUAAUCUUCGCCCUCCUACUUCCCUAAACUGCUCCAAUGAGCAGGAUGCUGUUGUAAUAGACGGGAA
rnacentral:misc_RNA from 1 species